UUUUUUUUCUUUUUUUUUUUUUUUUUUUUCGGUCUUUUUAGGGCCUUACCUGUGGCAUAUGGAGAUUCCCAGGCUAGGGGGUAAAAUCAGAGCUAUAGCUGCCAGCCUAUACCACAGCCACAGCAAUGCUGAAUAUGAGCCAUGUCUGUGACCUACACCACAGCUCAUGGCAAUGCCAGAUCCUUAACCCACUGAGCAGGGCCAGGGAUCAAACCUGCACCCUCAUGGAUACUAGCUGGGUUCGUUACCACUGAGCCACAACAGGAACUCCAGUUCAGCUAAUUAUUAAAUAAUAUGUGAAAACAAAUCACUGUCUCAAACUUUUUGGUCACAGGACUCUUUUACACUCUUAAAAGUUAUUAAGGACCCCAAACAACUUGUUUAUAUGUGUUAUACCUAGCAAUACUUAUUAUGUUAGAAAUUAAAACCGAAGUUUUUAAAUGUUUUUAGUCAUUAAAAUAAUAAGCCCAUUAUAUGUUGACAUAAAUAACAUAUUUUUGAAUAAUAACUAUAUUUUUAAAAAUAUAGGAUGUUCCUGUUGUGGCUCAGCAGGUUACGAACAUGACUAGUAUCCAUGAGGAUGUGGGUUUGAUCCCUGGCCUUACUCAGUCGGUUAAGGAUCUAACAUUGCCAUGAGCUGUGGUGUAGGUCACAUAUGUGGCUUAGAUCCUGUAUUGCUGUGGUGUAGUGUAGGCUAGCAGCUGCAGCUCUGAUUAAAUCCCUAACCCAGGAACUUCUAUAUGCCACAGCUUGGACCCUAAAAAGCAAAUAUAUAUAUAUAUAUAAAUGGGAGUUCCCUAAUGGCACAGUGGGUUAAGGAUCCAGCAUUGUCACUGCAGUAGCUCAGGUUUCACCUGUGGUGCAGGUUUGAUCCCUGGUCCCAGAACUUCUACAUUUUCAUGGGCGUGGCUGAAGAAAAAAUAUAUAUGUUUAUAUAUAUAUAUACUGUAUGGUUUCACAUUCUUAUAAAUUUCUUAAUGUCUAGCUUAUAGAAAACAGAUGAUUCUCCUAUCUUUCCUUAAUAAAUUUGUUUCAAUAUCACUCAUUAUAUUGUCUCUGGAAAAUUUCACUCUACACUCAGUGAAUGAAAAUAAUAAAGGCAAGUAACAGCUUAUUAUUUUCAGGAAAAAAGUUUUGACCUUAGAGAUCACUGUAAAGGAUUUUAAGGAAUCCCUGGAAUCCAUGGACCAUACUUUGAGAACCUCUGUUUUAAACCAUACAAAUGUUAGCUCCUUAGGCAAUCUACAGACUAGACCAGUCUUAUAAAUGUGAGUAUUUUUUCUUCAUUUUUCAGGAGCACAGAGUAAGUUAGAGGAAUUCAGGGUCAUAAUGGAAUGCAACUACUUUCUGCUUUAGAAAUCAGUCAACCUAUCCAAUAUUGUUUUUCAGCCUGCUGUACAAGAUGGUUCCUGUCACAUGAAUAUAUAAUAUCACUAAAAUAGGUUUGUAUCCCCUGUACAAACUAAUAUUAAGACUCCAAUAAAAUUUGUAGUUAAAAUUCUUACUUGCCUGCCCUUGGGCAGUAAAUAAAUAUAUAUAUAUAGAGAGAGAGAGAGAGAGACUUGCACUGUGGUAUAAAUAUAUUCUUUGCCAUCUUCAGUAGUUCCCAAAUCAAUUUGAUGAUCAACUGUCUCAGAAUUAUCUGGGGGGAGAUUUUAAAAAUACAUAUUCCUGGAUCAAGAGAUAAGCUGUUUAGGAGUUCCCACUGUGGCUCAGAAGUAGCAAACCUGACUAGGAUCCAUGAGGUUGCAGGUUUGAUCCCUGGCCUUGUUUAAUGGGUUAAGGAUCCGGCGUUUCUUUGAGCGGUGGUGUAGGUCACAGAUGCAGCUCAGCUCCCAUGUUAGUGUGGCUGUGGCAUAGGCUGUCAGCUGCAGCUCCGAUUCAACCCCUAGCCUGGGAACUUCCAUAUGCCACCAGUGUGGCCCUAAAAAUAAAAAUUAAAAAAAAAAAAAGAUAUGCUGUUAAAAUGGAACAGGGUGGUCCUCAGGAGUUUGGAUUUUUAAAAAGUUACCCAGGUACUCUCAUAUAUUGAUGGGUUUGGGAAUGAAUACAAAGUACAUGUAACAAAGUAAUGGACUUGGUCUCUGCCCCUAGUACCAUCACGCAUAAAAUAUCUAUUUCAUCUUCAGUAUUUCAAAAGUAUAUUCUUGUUCAAAGAUUUGUGUUAUCAAGAGACAGAGUACGUAUUAAAUUUCAUUCAGUUGUAGAAAUUGAUAUACUUAUUUCAAACAUUUUAUAGUUCAUCUGCCUUUAUCACAUAAAAAUAACGUAGGAUGUUAUCACAGCAGUUUGCAGCGCAUCACACUGCUGUAAGAAGCAAGACAUCUUUUGCAACAAGCAAAGUGACUACAAAAAGUGUUAUUUUAUAGAGCUUUGAUUUAAUUUCUUUAAAAUGAGAUGUCCCAUGUUUUAUUACACUUACUAGGAUUCUGCAGAUUAGCUUAUAGUAUUUCAAAACCUAUGCAGUCGUCCAUCACAAAUUUCUUUUGAGGAUAUAUUAUAUUCAAGCAGCUAUUGAGAGACUUAUGAUCCAUAGUUGCUGUUGCAAUCAGUGUUCUUUGCUAAUAUUAUAGCCAGAAUUACAUUCAAGAAAAAAAUUGAAAAACAAGCUUAAUGUUUCCUUCCUUCUUACCUCAAAAGGAAAAAGGAAAUAGCUAAAUCAGCCAAAUAUGAUGAUUAAUAAACAUUGAUAUGUAUUCCUCUUGAUUUUAUGAUUGAAAAUAACUUCAAAAUUACAGAAUCCCUGCUCAGAUGCUGAUUUCUAAGUACCUUAACCCAUAAGAAGGAAUCAGAGCUUUUUGGAGAAAUGGCUGAUUUCAGGGCUAGGGCAGAAGGUACAAGAUGAUCUGGAACAUAUUGUUGUGCCAGAAAUAAAAAGUGCUCAGAAAAUAAAAUGGGACAUUCAACAGGAGCCAGCUUGGAGGGUCUCUCAAAGGGCAAAUCUGGAAUAACUAGAGUUUCAAAAUAAGAACCGUAAUGAAUUAUGAUCCAUUGAAUAAGAAUCCAUUAGGUAUUCUAAUGAGAGAGAUUUGGGAGAAAAGGAAACGCUGUUCUCUAAAGAGAAUGCCCGCUGAUAAACACAGAGAGAGUGGUAUAUGGAAAAUCACCAUUUUGUAACUAUCAUAGAAAAAAUUGGCUUGAGAAAUAUCAUCAAUGGAUUCUAAAUUUAGAUGAGAAAAUUUGAUGAGAAGCAGUGUACUUUCAUAUCUUCAAUGUAUCUCUCCACUGAUUGCAUAUUUGCUACAAGGGGAAAAGGAUAGCUACGCUGUGGAGAAACUAAACAACACUUUGAUCAAUGACCAUAUACCAUAUGCCUUCUGUUGUGAUACCUUGAGAAGAACAUAACCUCUCUCAAAUCUAAUCAUAAGGAAACAUACCAAACCCAUAUUGAGGAACAUUCUAUUAAAUAGCUGUCCUAGCAAUUCCCUUGUGGUGCAGUAGGUUAAGGAUCAGGUGUUGUCACUGCAGGGGUUCAGAUCACUGCUGUGGCCAGGGUUUGAUCCCUGGCCUGAGAACAUCCAUGUGCCACAGGGAUAGCCAAAAAAAAAAAUGUCCUGAAAGACCACCACCACCAACAAAAUAUGUUGCACACUGGAGUUCCCUGGUAAUAUAUAGGUUAAGGAUUCAGCAUUGUCACUGCAUUAUCAUUUCUAUGGUUUGAGUUAAGGGUCAGGAACUUCCAUGUGCUGGGGGUGUGGGGAAAAAGAAUGCUGAAGAACUGUUGCAUAUCAAAAGGGAUUAAAGAGACUUGACAAGUAAAACUGAUAUAUUAUCUAAUCUGGAACUUGGACCUGAGUGAGGGAAAUGCUAUGAAAGAUUUAUUGGAAUAGUUGACAAAAUUGAAAUAUGGACCAUAGAUUAGAAAAAAGUAGUUCCCCAUAUGUGAUGAUUACAUAAAGGAAUAUAUUUUUUGUAGUAAAUACACACUGAGAUAUUAAGAGCUAAAGAGGUAUAAAGUAUGUACUCUAUUCUCAAGUGGUUCAGAAAAAAUAAAUCAAAACAUCCAGAGAGAGAAUGCAAAUGCAGCAAAAUGUAAAAGUUGGUGAACCUGAAUAAAUGAUAUUCAGAAGCUCUCUAUCCUAUUCUUGCAUUUUUUUCUAUGAGUUUUAACUGUUUUUAAAUGAAAAAAGUUAAGAACUCUCCAAUUUCUCACUCUUAGACUUCAUUCAUCAUGAACCUUUUAUUUAGUUAUUCCAAGUGGUAAUUAUCUUUUAUAAUUUUAGCUGAUUAUAUACUACCAAUAAGAAGGAAAGCAGCUAACUUCACAAAAG
rnacentral:lncRNA from 1 species